ACCACACAGAAACCUAAGAAUCACUGUUCCUUGUAGCAGUGGUUUCAACAGAGGUGCAAAUAGCAAGAGAUCUUGUCACCUUUGGGGGGCCGUGGUUGUGCCCCUCAAAGUGAAUUCUGCACUUCU